UAGGGAAUCUUCGGCAAUGGGGGGAACCCUGACCGAGCAACGCCGCGUGAGUGAAGAAGGUGUUCGGAUCGUAAAGCUCUGUUGUUAAGGAAGAACGAGUGUGAGAAUGGAAAGUUCAUACUGUGACGGUACUUAACCAGAAAGGGACGGCUAACUACGUGCCAGCAGCCGCGGUAAUACGUAGGUCCCGAGCGUUGUCCGGAUUUAUUGGGCGUAAAGCGAGCGCAGGCGGUUAGAUAAGUCUGAAGUUAAAGGCAGUGGCUCAACCAUUGUAGGCUUUGGAAACUGUUUAACUUGAGUGCAGAAGGGGAGAGUGGAAUUCCAUGUGUAGCGGUGAAAUGCGUAGAUAUAUGGAGGAACACCGGUGGCGAAAGCGGCUCUCUGGUCUGUAACUGCCGCUGAGGCUCGAAAGCGUGGGGAGCGAACAGG
rnacentral:rRNA from 1 species